rnacentral:misc_RNA from 1 species
AACCAUUCUCACCUGCGGCUAGACCUGCGGAAGGAUCAUUACACAAUACAAUAUGAAGGCUGUCCGCAGCUGGAGUAUUUUAUUACCCUUGUCUUUUGCGCACUUGUUGUUUCCUGGGCGGGUUCGCUCGCCACCAGGACCACCAAAUAAACCUUUUUUAUGCAGUUGCAAUCAGCGUCAGUACAAACAAUGUAAAUCAUUUACAACUUUCAGCAAUGGAUCUCAGAUCGGAAGAGCACA